rnacentral:lncRNA from 1 species
AAGGGUUUAGGGUUUACCCAAGGGUUUAGGGUUUUCCCAAGGGUUUAGGGUUUAGGAUUAGAGUUUAGGGUUUAGUGUUUUGUUGACAACAUGUUUAGUGUUUUUCCAAGGGUUUAGGGUUUACCCAAAGAUUUAGGAUUUACCCAAGGGUUUAAGGUUUAGGAUUUGAGUUUAGGGUUUAGUAUUAGAGUUUAGGGUUUAGUAUUAGAGUUUAGGGUUUAGUGUUUUGUUGACAACAUUAUUAUUUUUUUGAAUUCGUUUUUUAUAUAUUAUUUUUAUUUAUUUUUAAAUUUUAUUUUGAAAAGAUAAUAUAAUUUGUCAAGUUAUUUAUUUUCCAUAAUUAAAAAAUACUAGAUCUAAAAUGAUAAUUUUCUAUUGGUUAGUGAACCUAAAGGUUCACCCUAGGGGGUGGACCCAAGAAUAACUCUUUUUUUUUAUAAUCUUUCUCUUUUAAUAGUGUAGAUAUAUUUUGAUGAGAUUUAGUAAUAUUAUAUCUAAAACCACAUUUAAGUUCUAUGCAACAAAU